rnacentral:sRNA from 1 species
UUUUUUUUUCCACAAUUAUUAUUUAUAUUAAGUUAUCGGGAAAAGACUCUGCGCUAAAGAAAGCCAUUCAAGAACCGAUAUGCUUAUAUGGAAAAAUGCUAUUUUGAACCCGGGCUUUUUUAGCUAAACAAUCUGCUCGAGUAUUAGAACUACGAGGAAAAUAUAUAAU